CUGCUGUUUUAAGAGCAUCAGAACCCAUCGACCAACCUCCAGGGAGGCACCCCUCUCCCUGGUUGCUUAGGGCCGAAAACCCCGACCCUCAUGUUUUUAAAGAGAAUUGGAAUCCUAUGUGAAUAAGGUGGGAAAACUGGAAAGAUUGAAUGUCCUUUGGAGUUCACAGAGGUUUGGCAGUGGGAGGAGAAAAACAAAACGAAGCAUAGUGGGAGUGUUGAACAGACUUUCCCAAGAUCCCCAGGGAAAUCAACAAAGAGUAUUGCUUCCUUGCAAAUUGGCAGGAAGGUUUCCAGCAUAAUAAAAGAGUGCAGAAAAAACAAGUUAAUUCAAGGAUAAAACUGUGGAUAAGUAGAAGAGAAGACUACACCAGGAAAAGAGACGGAGGUAGAGGCCCAAUGGAGAAAAGCAAAGCUACUAUAAGAACUCACUACAUCAACGCGUAUUCAUUAUUGAGACCAUCCUAGGAGAGCUGCAUCAUCACAGGCUGCUCUGAGGUCUGUGCCCAAUCAAGCAAAGAACAACGGGGACAAUCACACUGUGCAGAGGGUGACCAAUUGAGAAAAAAAGGACUCUUAAGAAGAUCGUCCAACUUCCUUAAAUGACUUUCAUUAAUUUUACACCUUUUGCCAAUUAAUUGCACUUAUGAGCCUUGCUUGUCAAUUACUGCAUUCUCACUUUCAGCAAUUGAACUAAUCUUUGCCUAUUCAUAUUUUGUUUUUUAAAUAGGUAUUUCCAAUUAUUGAUAUAAAUCUUUAUGAUUACAUUACAAAUGUCUGACCAUAUUUAUUCAUUCUUCAUAGAGACAAAAUAAAGUUUCUAUUAUCUACACUUAAAACAUGUUGUACUUUUUUCUUUACAGCACAACUUACAAUAUUGUCUUUAUUUGGUGAUUAUUUUAAAACAAAUAUAUUCCAUUUAAAAUACAAGCUCAAUAACUACAGAUACAUUUAUGUUUGUAUGUAUAUAUAUAUACACACACACACACACGUAUUUUUCUU
rnacentral:lncRNA from 10 species